rnacentral:ncRNA from 2 species
AUAAGCGUGUUGAUAGGAAGUAGUAACAAAUGUUGUUUCUUAUAGAGAGUCGAUGGUUGGUGGAAAUCGAUAGAAACAGUUUGUGAAUCCAUCCUGGAAUGGAAUGUGGAAUAUCUUUUGAUUAGUAAACAUUCCCGGUGAAGAGCCGUUAUUUCUACUUGAGAGGAAAGCGGUAAUGCUUUCAACUAGGGUGGCAACGCGGGUUAACUCCCGUCCCUUUG